ACAUCAGCACAGCUUUGAAAGGGGGAUGGGAGAGCGAGCAGAAAGCAGAAAAACCAGCUUUGAACUAUGCAUGCAAGGCCUCUUUCAAGCCUCAAAUUCUAGCCGACAGACACUGCUGGAUUCCAUGGCUGGCCAGGAGAUGAUGUGAUUUCUAACACAUGUGGGCAGUGGGCACGCACCACCUGAGCAGGCUGCCGGCCUCACACCUGCUCUGACUUUGCUGCUAUCUGAACAGCAAAAUUAAUUUUUUUUUUUAAAAGAGCACGUGCUUUCAGUUGGGUAAGAGGAAUUUAGAUCUUAGCUGCCCUCCUGCCUCUGAGCCUUCACUGCUGACAUGUGGAUUGUCUGUCUGGAGGGGACGGCCACCGAUCACCAACGACUACUAUGAAGCAGUGUUGAUGACUCUCACUGCCACACACCCCAGCCUCCUCCUCCUCCAAGUGAUGCCAGAUGAACUCAGACACAGUUAGGAACGAGGCAUUCAGGGGCUCAAGAAGGAGCCCAGGAGCAGAUGUUUAUUGAAGAUCUGGGCUUUAAAGAGACAGAGACCUGCCCUCCAAUGAUUUAAUAUUUCAUACGAGAUAAGACAAAAGUGCCAUCCUACAACUGUGCUGAUGAGUGGGAAUACAGAAAUAAGGGGGAAAGGCUCCUAAGAGCUUUAUAUAUAAUAUACGGAAUAGGAGUCAAAGAAACAGUGAAGACACUUUUUGAUGUAUUUUUCCUAAUGAUCUCAGAUCAAAGGAUCUCACCUUUAUUAGUGAUUUACCCCACGCUCUUUUGAAACCCUACGCAUGUAAGUAGUUCUUUAAAGAACUCCAAGGCUGAUCUGGCCAUCACUGAUAAAACAGACUAAGAUAGAAAUAAAUAAAUAAUAUGAGGGAAGAAAAGAAUACUUGAAUAAAGGUAAGGUGUACUUCUGAAUUAGAAAUAUAAAAAUAUAAAUACUGCACCUAUGCUGAUAAUUUUCCCCCAAACUGAUCUACAGGUUUAAAGUAUUUCCAGUUAAAAUUCAGGUGGGCCUCUAUUUUUCCAGGUACUUAGCAAAAGUAUUCUAAAGUUCACCGGCAAAAAAUAAAAGAAGGAGAAGAAUGAGAAUGCUACUAAUAAGAAAGGCAAGUCCUACCAACUAUAAAGCUGUAUGAAUUAAUGACAGUGUGAUGGGGCAAAAAAGGUAGAUUAAUGCAACAGAAGCCACAGUCCCAAACUGAGAAAUAUGUUGACAUAAAUGUAAUAUAAUAAAGAGUGUAUCUCAAAUCAGUGGAAGGGGAAGAAUUAGAUAAUUGCUUGGCAAUCUUGGGGCAGACAACUGAUUAACUAUAUGCAGAAAAAAGUCAAUUUAAGUCUUUUAACAUCACACCAAAAUAAAAUUUGAGAUGGCUUAAACAGUUAAAUAAAAAUCAAUCAAAACCACCCCCGCAAAUCCCUAUAACUUUUAGAAGAAAGGGAAAGUGAAUAUUCAAUUCUCAAGCAAAAAAAUUACAUUUAAAUACCUCUGAACAAACCCCUCAAGAAUAGCACUCAUUAAAAAUGACAAAUUUCUGUGGUUUGGCUUUUUGGAGGCAGGGUCCUGUUCUGUCACCCAGGCUGGAGUGAAGUGGUAUGAUCUCUGCUCACUGCAGCCUCGACCUCCUGGGCCCAAGUGAUCCUCCUGCCUCAGCCUCCUGCAGAGCUGGGACCACAGGCUUGAAUCACCAAAACUGCUCAUUUUUUUCAUUUUCAGUAGAGAUGAGGUCUCUACUGUGUUGCCCAGAAUAGUCUUUAACUCCUGGGCUCAAGUGAUCCUCCAGCCUCAGCCUCCCAAAGUGCUGAGAUUGCAGGCAUGAGCCACCAUGCCCGACCUUAAAAUCACAAAUUUCUGUAUGUUCUCUCUAAAAGCAACCAAAAGGAAAUAUAAAUGCUAUAAAUACAAGGAAUUAAUAAUAUUAUAAUCGAUUAAAAAUAGUCUAAAAAUUGUGCCACUAUUUACAAUAGCAAAGACUUGGAACCAACCCAAAUGCCCAUCAAUGAUAGACUGGAUAAAGAAAAUGUGGCACAUACACACCAUGGAAUACUAUGCAGCCAUAAAAAAGAAUGAGUUCGUGUCUUUUGUAGGGACAAUGGAUGAAACUGGAAGCCAUCAUUCUCAGCAAAGUAACACAGGAACAGAAAACCAAACACUAAAUGAUUUUACUCAUAAGUGAGAGUUGAACAGUGAGAACACAUGGACACAGGGAAGUGAACAUCACACACCAGGGCCUGUCGGGGGGUGGGGAACAAGGGGUGGGAGAGCAUUUGGACAAAUAUCUAAUGCACGAAGGGCUUAAAACCUAGAUGAUGGGUUGAUAGGUGCAGCAAACCACGACACAUGUAUACCUAUGUAACAAACCUGCACGUUCUGCACAUGUAUCCCAGAACUUAAAGUAAAAUAAAAACAAAAAAUAAAAAUUGUGCUAAAAUAUACAUCAACACAAAAUUUACCAUCUUAACUGCUUUCAGCAUACAGUUCUGUGGCAUUAAGCACAUUCACAGUGUCCUGCAACCCUCACCACCAUCUAUCCACAGAACUCUUCAUCUUGCAAAACUGACACUGUCCCCAUUAAACAGUAACUUUCCAUCCCCCCUCCUUCCAGUGCUGGCAACCAUCACUCUACUUUCAAUCUCUAUGAACUUGUCUUCUCUGGGUACUUCACAUAAAGGGAUCUUACAGCAUUUGUCCUUUUGGGACUGGCUUAUUUCACUUAGCAUAAUGUCCGCAAGGUUCAUCCAUGUUGUAGCGAGUGCCAAAAUUUCCUUCCCUUAAAGGGCUGAAUGAUAUUCCAUUGGCAUACACUGAAGUUGUUUAUUCACUCUUCUGUUUACGGACAUUUGGGUUGCUUCCACCUUUUGUCAACUGUGAAUAAUGCUGCCAUGAACAUGGGGCUACAAGUAUCUGCUCCUGCCUCUGUUUUCAAUUCUUUUGGGUGUAUACCCAACAAGUGAAAUUGCUAGAUCAUAUGGCAGUUCUAUUUUUAUUUUUUUCCCAUCCUAUUUUUUAUUUUUAAUUGAUGCGUAAUAGCGAUACACAGUUUCAAGGUAUAUGUGUGAUAUUUGGAAGAACUGCCAUACUGUUUUCCACAGUGGCUGCACCAUUUCAUAUUCCCACUGACCAUGCACAGGGCCAGGCAUGGUGGCUCACACCUGUAAUCCCAGCACUUUCUUUGGGAGGCUGAGGCAGGCAGAUCACUUGAGGUCAAGAGUUCGAGACCAGCCUGGCCAACAUGGCGAAACCCCAUCUCUACUGAAAAUACAAAAAUUAGCUGGGCCUGGUGGUGCGUGCCUGUUAGGCCCAGCUACCUGGGAGGCUGAGGCAGGCUGCAGUGAGCCAAGACCACAUCACUGCACUCCAGCCUGGGUGACAGGGCGAGACUCCGUCUCAAACAAACAAAUGCUAAAAAACAAAAAACAGUGCACAACAACAGUUCCAAUUUCUCCACAAGGACAUUAACACUUAUUUUUUAAAACUUAUUUUUAAUUUUUAUGGGUACAUAGUAGGUGUAUAUAUUUAAGACACACGAGAUGUUUUGAUACAGGCAUCCAAUGUGAAAUAAGCACAUCAUGGAGAAUGGGAAUGGGGUGUUCAUCCCCUCAAGCGUUUAUCCUUUGAGUUACAAACAAUCCAAUUACAGUCUUAAUGUUAUUUUAAAGUGUACAAUUAAGUUAUUGUUGACUAUAGUCACCCUGUUGUGCUAUCAAGUGGGUCUUAUUUAUUCUAACUUUUUUUGUACCCAUUGACCAUCCCCACCCCCCACCCCCGCUAUUACCCUUCCCAGUCUCUGGUAACCAUUCUUCUACUCUCUAUGUCCGUGAGUUCAAUUGUUUUGAUUUUUAGAUCCCAUGAAUAUGUGAGAACAUGUGAAGUUUGUCUUUCUGUGCUUGACUUAUUUCACUUAACAUAAAGAUCUCCAGUUCCAUCCAUGUUGCUGCAAAUGACUGGAUCUUUCUUUUUUCAUGGCUAAAUAGUACUCCAUUGUGUAUAUAUACCAUAUUUUUUUUAUUCAUUCAUCUGUUGAUGGACACUUAGGUUACUUCCAAACCUUAGCUAUUGUCAACAGUGCUACAACAAACACAGAAGUGCAGAUAUCUCUUUGAUAUACUGAUUUUCUUUCUUUGGGGUGUGUACCCAGCAGUGGGACUGCUGAAUAUAUGGUAGCUCAAUUUUCAGUUUUUCAAGCAACAUCCAAACUGUUCUUUAUAGUGGUUGUACUAAUUUACAUUCCUAACAACAGUGUACGAGGGUUCCCUUUUCCCCACAUCCUCUCCAGCAUUAGUUAUUGCUUGUCUCUUGGAUAAGCCAUUUUAACUGGUAUGAGAUGGUAUCUCAUUGUAGUUUUGAUGUGCAUUUCUCUAAUGAUCAAUGAUAUUGAGCACUUCUUCAUAUGCCUGUUUGCCAUUUGUCUGUCUUCUGAGAAAUGUCUACUCAAAUCUUUUGCCCAUCUUUUGACUGGAUUAUUUUUUUUCCUAUAGUUGUUUGAGCUCCUUAUAUAUUCUGGUUAUUAAUCCCUUGUCAGAUGAGUAGUUUGCAAAUAUUUUCUCCCAUUCUGUGGUUCAUCUCUUCACUUUAUUGAUUGUAUCCUUUGCUGUGCAGAAGCUUUUUAGCCUGAUGUGAUCCCAUUUGUCCCUGUUUGCUUUAGUUGCCUGUGCUUGUGGGGUAUUGCUCAAGGAAUUUUCACCUAGACCAAUGUCCUGCAGAUUUUCCCCAAUGUUUUCUUGCAGUAGUGUCACAGUCUGAGGUCUUAGAUUUUUUUUUUUUUUUUGAGACAGAGUCUUGCUCUGUUGCCCAGGCUGGAGUGCAAGUGCAGUGGUGCGAUGUCCGCUCACUGCAACCUCCGCCUCCCGGGUUCAAGCGAUUCUGCUGCCUCAGCCUCCCAAGUUGCUGGGACUACAGGUGCCCGCCACCACGCCCAGCUAAUUUUUUGUAUUUUUGGUAGGGAUGAGGUUUCACCGUGUUAGCCAGGAUGGUCUCAACCUCCUGACCUCGUGAUCUGCCUGCCUUGGCCUCCCAAAGUGCUGGGAUUACAGGUAUGAGCCACUGCGCCCCGCCCAGGUCUUAGAUGUCUUUAAUCCAUUUUGAUUUGAUUUUUGUAUAUAGCGAGAGAGAGAGAGGUCUAGUUCCAUUCUGCAUAUGAAUAUCCAGUUUUCCCAAUGCCAUUUAUUAAAAAUAUGCAACUGCUUCAUGAAUUUGCAUGUCAUCCUUGCACAGGGGCCGUGCUAAUCUCUGUAUCAUUCCAAUUUUAGUUUAUGUGCUGCUGAAGCGAGCACUAUUUUUAUUUUUAGAGACAGGGAGGGUCUUGCUUUGUCACCCAGGCUGGAGUGUAGUGACAUGAUCUUGGCUUACUGCAGCCUUGACCCUCUGGGCUCAAGCAAUCCUCUCACCUCAGCCUCCCGAGUAGCUGGGACCACAGGCACGUGCUACCAGCUAGUUGUUGUAUUUUUAGUAGAGAUGGGGUUUCACCACGUUGCCCAGGCUGGUCUCAAACUCUUGAGCUCAAGUGAUCUGCCUGCCUCGGCUCCUUAUUUAUUUAUCUUUUUUAAAUAAUAGCCAUCCUAGUGGGUGUGAAGUAUCUCACUCUAACUUUGAUUUUCAUUUUCCUAAUGACAGAGAUGUUGAGGAUCUUUUCAUGCACUUAUUGGUCAUUUGCAGAUAUUAUAUUCUUUGGAGAAAUGUCUGUUUAAGUAUUUCACACAUUUAAAAAAUCAAGCUGUUUUGCUCAGUUGUAGGAGUUCUUCAGAUAUUCUGCAUAUUAACUCCUUAUCAGUUAUACGAUUUUUCAAGUAUCUCCUCCCAUUCUGUGGCCUGCCUUUUCUUGUUGACUGGGCCCUUUAAUGCAGAGACGUUUUAAAUUUUUAUGUAGUCCAAUCUAUCUAUUUUUAUUUUUGUCGCCUGAGCUUUUGGUGUCAUAGCCAAGAAAUCAUUGUCAAAUCCAAUGUCAUGAAAUCUUUCCCCUAUGUUUUCUUCUCAAACAUUAUAGUUUUAACUCUUAGGUUUAGGUGUUUGAUCCAUUUUGAGCUAAUCUUUGUAUGUGUUGUGAAGGUAAGGGUAUCACUUCAUUCUUUAUUUUUAUUUUUAUUUUUGAGACAGAGUCUUGCUCUGUUGCCAGGCUGGUGUACAGUGGCGCAAUCUCAGCUCACUGCAAUCUCCGCCUCCUGGGUUCAAGCGAUUCUCCUGCCUCAGCCUCCCGAGUAGCUGGGACUACAGGUGCGUGCCAACACACCCGGCUAAUUUUUGUAUUUUUAAUACAGAUGGGGUUUCACCAUGUUGGUCAUGAUGGUCUCGAUCUCCCGACCUCGUGAUCUGCCCAUCUCAGCCUCCCAAAGUGCUGGGAUUCCAGGGGUGAGCCACUGUGCCCGGCCAGGUCCCGCUUCAUUCUUUUGCAUAUAAGGAUGGCUUGAGCCAGGGCAGUUCAGGAAACGCUUGAGGAGCAGAGGCAGCAGGGCGCUGGACCAGACAGAGGAUGAGAAUGUCCAAGGAGUGGUCUCUGUGUGUGGUAAUGAGCUGAGAUUACAGCUGGCAGCUGGAAACCAAACCCUGUGGGUGCCACCCAGAGAGAGCUGAGACUGACCAUGGAGUAUCGGCCAAGGUCAUGUGUGUAGCCCCGGGCCAUGGAGAGGGGGUACCCUGGAGGGGGUGGGCUGGCUGGCUGGGCUCAGCUGUCUGACAGGCAACGGGCUCCCCAGUGUUCCGAAGAGGGAGUGGCCCUGGUGGUGCCUCUCUGUGGCUUAGAGGGGCUGAAGCUAGAACACCACUGUGACUCUAGGCCUGCUGGUUCCCUGAGAGCAAGGGCCACCUUAGGUCAUUGCUCUGAACACCUCCCCUUGCUCUGAGCAGCACAGAUGGCCAGGUGAACUGCCUCACCAAUCCAGGGACUGUGCCCUCUCAUCAAGAGAUCAUGGGUAAUCACGAGAAGACACAAAAAUCAAAACACGCGAGAGAAGAAAAGACUAAUGAAAGCAGAGACUCCCUGCGCAGCUCUUUCUAAGCCGACUAGAAGAGCAGCAGGCACUCUGAUAACUUCUGCACAGUCCAUUUUUGUUAUUCUUCAACUAACAGGCAAGAAGCCGAAGUUUCUGUAAAUAUAUGCAUAAUUCAUUUGUAAGCAGUUAAACCUCUACUUUUAUGGUAAAGCUUUCAAUUGUAUCAGAAAAUAGGCAGGGUGCAGUGGCUCAUGGCUGUAAUCCUAGCACUUUGGGAGGCGGAGGUGGGUGGAUCGCUUGAGCCCAGGAGUUUGAGACCAGCCUGGGCAACAUGGUGAAACCCUGUCUCUACUAAAAAUACAAAAAUUAGCUGUGCGUGGUGGUGCGCACCUGUGGUCCCAGCUACUCGGAAGGCUGAGCUGGGAGGACUGCUUGAGCCUGGGAGGUCCAGGCUGCAGUGAGCUGACAUCGUGACGUUGCACUCCAGCCUGGGUGAUAGAGUGAAACUCUGUCUCAAAAAAAGAAAAUAAACUGCUUUGAAUGAGGGUGAAGUAUUGUAUUUGCACGAGAGGAGAGCAAGAGAUAUAAAAUAUUUAACUGGUAUUCAAAAGCCAAUUUUAAACAAUUCAAGUAAAUUCUAACAAUAAUGUAAUGACUUCUUUCACCAAAGACCAAAUACUCAGCAACUCUUUUGCCCCAGGUCUCUAGUUAGUUAGCCGAUAAUAAGUCCUACAUUAUUCUGCUAUAACUUUGACUUCUCCUAGUCUUUUCUUUUCUAAAAAUGGCCUCAAAAAACAAGUCCAUGAUUAAUUUACUCCUCCUAUAAGUAUCUUAAAAAAAAAGGGUCUCUUUAUUUAACAUUUAACACUUCUAACUUCCAGUCCAAAAAUGUUAAAUGAAGGCAUUAAUUCAGAAUAAUCUUUCAAUGAACAGGUCUGAGGGCUAUAUUCAACCUCACUGUUUAAAAAAAAAUAAAUUAUGAAAUACCUUUUUCUACUUAUCAAAUAACUACAACUUUUACAUGAUCUCAGCAUUGGAGAGGUAUGAUGGACAGGCAUCUCACACACUCUGUAUGUGGUGCCACUCUCUGGAAAGUGUGUAGACAAUAUCUAUUAAGGGUUUUUGAAAAUGCCUGCUCUUUGAUUCCGUACUUCCUUCAUCAAGCUUAAGGAAAGGUUCAAAGAUGUGAACAACAAUGAUAACAAAAGAUUAACAGAACAGUAUCAUUUAUAAUAGCUGAAAAACUGGGGUAUCCACAGAACGAAAUAAUAAACGAUUGCUAAAAA